UUGAACGCUGGCGGCAGGCCUAACACAUGCAAGUCGAGCGGUAGAGAGGUGCUUGCAUCUCUUGAGAGGCGGCGGACGGGUGAGUAAUGCCUAGGAUCUGCCUGGUAGUGGGGGACAACGUUUCGAAAGGAACGCUAAUACCGCAUACGUCCUACGGGAGAAAGCAGGGGACCUUCGGGCCUUGCGCUAUCAGAUGAGCCUAGGUCGGAUUAGCUAGUAGGUGAGGUAAUGGCUCACCUAGGCGACGAUCCGUAACUGGUCUGAGAGGAUGAUCAGUCACACUGGAACUGAGACACGGCCCAGACUCCUACGGGAGGCAGCAGUGGGGAAUUUUGGACAAUGGGCGCAAGCCUGAUCCAGCAAUGCCGCGUGCAGGAUGAAGGCCUUCGGGUUGUAAACUGCUUUUGUACGGAACGAAACGGUGAGCUCUAAUACAGUUUGCUAAUGACGGUACCGUAAGAAUAAGCACCGGCUAACUACGUG
rnacentral:rRNA from 1 species